rnacentral:rRNA from 1 species
AGAGUUUGAUCCUGGCGUCAGGAUGAACGCUAGCGGCAGGCCUAAUACAUGCAAGUCGGACGGUAAAUGCCCCUUCGGGGGCGAUGAGAGUGGCGGACGGGUGCGCAACGCGUAUGCAACCACCCCCGAUGGCGCACAGCCGGUGGAAACGCCGGGUGAUUCGCCGUGCGGCGCAGGGGAGGCAUCUCCCCCGCGCGAUAGCCCUCGGGCGUCGGGGACGGGCAUGCGUCCCAUUAGAUGGUAGGCGGGGUGACGGCCCACCUAGUCGACGAUGGGUAGGGGAUCUGAGAGGACGGUCCCCCACACUGGUACUGAGACACGGACCAGACUCCUGCGGAGGCAGCAGUAGGGGAUAUUGGGCAAUGGGCGGAAGCCUGACCCAGCCAUGCCGCGUGAGGGAAGUAGGCCCUACGGGUCGUGAACCUCUUUUAUACGGGGACAAGGACGCGCUCGGGAAGCGUGUUUGAGGGUACCGUAGGAAUAAGCAUCGGCUAACUCCGUGCC